AUUGAACGCUGGCGGCAUGCUUCACACAUGCAAGUCGAACGGUAACAGGGAGCUUGCUCCGCUGACGAGUGGCGAACGGGUGAGUAAUGCGUCGGAACGUGCCGAGUAGUGGGGGAUAACGCAGCGAAAGUUGUGCUAAUACCGCAUACGUACUGAGGUAGAAAGUGGGGGACCUUCGGGCCUCACGCUAUUCGAGCGGCCGACGUCUGAUUAGCUAGUAGGUGAGGUAAAGGCUCACCUAGGCGACGAUCAGUAGCGGGUCUGAGAGGAUGAUCCGCCACACUGGGACGGAGACACUGCCCAGACUCCUACGGGAGGCAGCAGUGGGGAAUUUUGGACAAUGGGCGAAAGCCUGAUCCAGCCAUGCCGCGUGUCUGAAGAAGGCCUUCGGGUUGUAAGGGACUUUUGUCGGGGAGGAAAUCCCCAGCGCUAAUACCGCUGGGGGAUGACAGUACCUGAAGAAUAAGCACCGGCUAACUACGUGCCAGCCGCCGCAGUAAAAC
rnacentral:rRNA from 1 species